rnacentral:rRNA from 1 species
UACGUAGGGGGCAAGCGUUGUCCGGAAUCAUUGGGCGUAAAGCGCGUGUAGGCGGUCCGGUAAGUCCGCUGUGAAAGUCGGGGGCUUAACCCUCGGAUGCCGGUGGAUACUGUCGGGCUUGAGUACGGAAGAGGCGAGUGGAAUUCCUGGUGUAGCGGUGGAAUGCGCAGAUAUCAGGAGGAACACCAAUUGCGAAGGCAGCUCGCUGGGACGUUACUGACGCUGAGACGCGAAAGCGUGGGGAGCAAACAGG